AUGAGUAAGGCACCAAAGAUGACUGGAAGCACUCAAAAAGUUUACCACGCUGGAGCUAUGUCAGGUACCUACUGUUCUUUUGUGUUGCGUGUUUUCUAUUUCCCGUCAGAAACUCAUUCCAUAAUCAAUUUGCAGGUUGUACAAGGGCAGUUAAUGAAUAUACUUGCGUUCCUUUUACUCUCAGAGUCUCCUCCUUUUCUCGCUGUUGAAUCCCUGCCACCAUCAUGUCCAGACUGGUUGUCUCCAUGGUUGUGGCGCCAAGGUCACCGCAUCUUACAUCCUGAUGCAUUUUCAAGAAGACAUUAUUUGAUGUUAGAUGGCCAUUAUGUUCGUGUCAUGUGGACAGAGGACUAA
rnacentral:rRNA from 1 species